rnacentral:rRNA from 1 species
GAUGAACGCUAGCGGAAGGCUUAAUACAGGCAAGUCGAGCGGUAGGUGGCUUCGGCCAUUGAGAGCGGCGCACGGGUGAGUAACGCGUACAUGACCUGCCUGUCAGAAGGGGAUAGCCCUGGGAAACUGGGAUUAAUACCCUAUGGUAUUGAUAUUAUGAAUGAUAUCAAUUAAAGUUGAGGCGUUGACAGAUGGAUGUGCGUCUGAUUAGCUAGUUGGUAGGGUAACGGCCUACCAAGGCGACGAUCAGUAGGGGGCGUGAGAGCGUGGUCCCCCACACGGGUACUGAGACACGGACCCGACUCCUACGGGAGGCAGCAGUAAGGAAUAUUGGUCAAUGCCCGCAAGGGGUGAAACCCAGGCCAUUCCGCGUGGAGGAUGAAGGCCCUAUGGGUUGUAAACUUCUUUUAGAUGGGAAGAAAAUGCUAGAUGUAUCUGGUACUGACGGUACCAUCAGAAUAAGCACCGGCUAAACUCCGUGCCAGCAGCC